rnacentral:rRNA from 1 species
GCUGAGGUGUGAUGACGAGGCACUACGGUGCUGAAGUAACAAAUGCCCUGCUUCCAGGAAAAGCCUCUAAGCAUCAGGUAACAUCAAAUCGUACCCCAAACCGACACAGGUGGUCAGGUAGAGAAUACCAAGGCGCUUGAGAGAACUCGGGUGAAGGAACUAGGCAAAAUGGUGCCGUAACUUCGGGAGAAGGCACGCUGGUGUGUAGGUGAAGUCCCUGCGGAUGGAGCUGAGACCAGUCGAAGAUACCAGCUGGCUGCAACUGUUUAUUAAAAACACAGCACUGUGCAAACACGAAAGUGGACGUAUACGGUGUGACGCCUGCCCGGUGCCGGAAGGUUAAUUGAUGGGGUUAUCCGUAAGGAGAAGCUCUUGAUCGAAGCCCCGGUAAACGGCGGCCGUAACUAUAACGGUCCUAAGGUAGCGAAAUUCCUUGUCGGGUAAGUUCCGACCUGCACGAAUGGCGUAAUGAUGGCCAGGCUGUCUCCACCCGAGACUCAGUGAAAUUGAACUCGCUGUGAAGAUGCAGUGUACCCGCGGCAAGACGGAAAGACCCCGUGAACCUUUACUAUAGCUUGACACUGAACAUUGAGCCUUGAUGUGUAGGAUAGGUGGGAGGCUUUGAAGCGUGGACGCCAGUCUGCGUGGAGCCAACCUUGAAAUACCACCCUUUAAUGUUUGAUGUUCUAACGUUGGCCCCUUACCGGGGUUGCGGACAGUGUCUGGUGGGUAGUUUGACUGGGGCGGUCUCCUCCCAAAGCGUAACGGAGGAGCACGAAGGUUAGCUAAUCCUGGUCGGACAUCAGGAGGUUAGUGCAAUGGCAUAAGCUAGCUUGACUGCGAGCGUGACGGCGCGAGCAGGUGCGAAAGCAGGUCAUAGUGAUCCGGUGGUUCUGAAUGGAAGGGCCAUCGCUCAACGGAUAAAAGGUACUCCGGGGAUAACAGGCUGAUACCGCCCAAGAGUUCAUAUCGACGGCGGUGUUUGGCACCUCGAUGUCGGCUCAUCACAUCCUGGGGCUGAAGUAGGUCCCAAGGGUAUGGCUGUUCGCCAUUUAAAGUGGUACGCGAGCUGGGUUUAGAACGUCGUGAGACAGUUCGGUCCCUAUCUGCCGUGGGCGCUGGAGAAUUGAGGGGGGCUGCUCCUAGUACGAGAGGACCGGAGUGGACGCAUCACUGGUGUUCGGGUUGUCAUGCCAAUGGCACUGCCCGGUAGCUAAAUGCGGAAGAGAUAAGUGCUGAAAGCAUCUAAGCACGAAACUUGCCCCGAGAUGAGUUCUCCCUGAGACUUUAAGUCUCCUGAAGGAACGUU